GUCUUCCGGAACAGCUGGUACUCUCAUGCAUGUUUCAGAGUUAUUUUCCUCGAAGCGAGCAUAUAAGUAGUUUAGCUCGUCUGGUAGGCUCGUGUCACUCAGCAGCUCUCGGCUGUGCUUCCCUUUGUAGUCUGUAAUGGUUUGUAAGUCCUGCCACAUCCGACGAGCGUCAGAGCCAGUCUUCAAUUCAAUCUUAGUCCUUUGCCUGCCUGUUGGUUCGUCGGCGUGCAUAGCGGGAUUUCUUAUAAGCUUCCGGGUUAGAGUCCCGCUCCUUGAAAGAGGCAGCUCUAGCCUUUAGCUCAGUGCGGAUGUUGCCUAUAAUCCAUGGCUUCUGGUUGGGAAGUGUGUCGAGCCCUGAAAGAAAUUGAUGGAAAGAAAUUCCUUGGCUCUGAUGAACUAGACCCCCGCUUCCUGCACCUAGCUACAGACAUCAUUGCUCCCCCCUUAACAUGUAUUUUUAACGUCACGCUUGAUGUUAAGGAAAUCCCCAAGUUAUCCUGAAAGGUGGAGAUCCUUCGCUACUGGACAACUAUCGACUCAUAUCAAAAUUGUCUGUACUGCCUAAGGUACUGGAGUCCUUAGUAGGAAGCUAAAAGCCUACUUCCAAGAAAACAACAUCUUAAAUGGAAUGCAAUCAGGUUUUAGGUCUGGACACAGCACUGUUUCAGCAACAUUAAAGAUUUUAAAUGACAUCCGUUGUGCUCUUGAUAAGAUGUUA